CGGGUGUAGUUUAGUGGUAAAACUACAGCCUUCCAAGCUGUUGUCGCGAGUUCGAUUCUCGUCACCC
rnacentral:tRNA from 25 species